rnacentral:rRNA from 1 species
GACAGAGGUGCCGAGCGUUAGGCGGAAUCACUGGGCUUAAAGCGUGUGUAGGCGGACUUCUAAGUACCUUGUGAAAUCCCACAGCUCAACCGUGGAACUGCUUGGUAUACUGGUCGUCUUGAGCCAUCUAGGGGCUGUCGGAACAAAUGGUGGAGCGGUGAAAUGCGUAGAUAUCAUUUGGAACGCCAAAGGUGAAAACAGACAGCUGGGGAUGUGCUGACGCUGAGACACGAAAGCCAGGGGAGCGAACAGG